CGCUGGCGGCAGGCUUAACACAUGCAAGUCGAACGGGCGUAGCAAUACGUCAGUGGCAGACGGGUGAGUAACACGUGGGAACCUUCCUAGGGGUACGGAACAACUCAGGGAAACUUGAGCUAAUACCGUAUACGUCCGUGAGGAGAAAGAUUUAUCGCCCUUAGACGGGCCCGCGUCGGAUUAGCUAGUUGGUGGGGUAACGGCCUACCAAGGCGACGAUCCGUAGCUGAUCUGAGAGGAUGAUCAGCCACACUGGGACUGAGACACGGCCCAGACUCCUACGGGAGGCAGCAGUGGGGAAUCUUGGACAAUGGGCGCAAGCCUGAUCCAGCCAUGCCGCGUGAGUGAAGAAGGCCUUCGGGUUGUAAAGCUCUUUUGUCAGGGACGAUAAUGACGGUACCUGAAGAAUAAGCCCCGGCAAACUUCGUG
rnacentral:rRNA from 1 species